AUGGAGAAGAUGAUGAAGGAUCUUGGCUUGCGGGAGGAAGAUCUGGACGAUGUCGUGUUUGAUGAGAAGGAGGCCCCGCCAGAUGUUGUUCGAUGGAUCGCUUUGGCUAGGGUUCACUCAAGCAAGACAUAUAGUCAAUUUUGGUUCUUCAAGAACAUGAGGGCUGCGUGGGAUCUCGCACAAGAGGUGAAGUUUGAACCUUUGGAGGAUAAUCUAUACACGAUCCAAUUCUCUUGUUUAGGAGAUUGGGAG
rnacentral:rRNA from 1 species